rnacentral:rRNA from 1 species
UACGUAGGGGGCAAGCGUUGUCCGGAAUCAUUGGGCGUAAAGCGCGUGUAGGCGGCUCGAUAAGUCUGCUGUGAAAGUCCAGGGCUCAACCCUGGGAUGCCGGUGGAUACUGUCGAGCUCGAGUCCGGAAGAGGCGAGUGGAAUUCCUGGUGUAGCGGUGAAAUACGUAGAUAUCAAGAGGAACACCUGAGGUGAAGACGGGUUGCUGGGCUGACACUGACGCUGAGUGCGCGAAAGCUAGGGUAGCAAACAGG